UGGGGAACAUGGUGCUCAACAAGAGGU
rnacentral:piRNA from 1 species